AUAUUUGUUCCUUGGGUGAGUCCCAAGUGAUCACAUAAAACUCCUCCACCUGAGCCUUUCUCAGCAAACCACCGGUGCUGCCGCCAAAAAUUGGCGAUGGGGUGCUUGGGUCCAACUCCGGUGGUGUGAAGCCCACCGGAGCCUCCUCAGUUUUUCCCUCUGCAGCAGUAGCCUUGAUGGGAGUUAGAGGGUUGGAGUAUUUAAGGGGUUUAGCAGCAGUUGGGAUUGAGAUAAAGGAGGAUUGAUUCCAUGGCACGAUCACAUGGUUGCUUGAUUUAAUGGUGGUGGUGGGUGUGAAGAGAGAGGCUUGAGUUGCCAUUGCCAUAAGGACUUGGAGAACUGU
rnacentral:lncRNA from 1 species